AUUCAGCGUACGUUGAACAGAUCAAGUUUGCAUGAAAUCCCAUUAAUUGGACGUCGUUUCACAUGGAGUAAUGAACAGAACCCUCCCACGCUAGUCCGACUAGAUAGGGCGUUCUGUAAUGUCGAAUGGGAGCUCCUAUUCCCUGGGGCGAAACUGCUGCCGCAAUCUUCAUCCAUUUCCGAUCACUGUCCACUAAUCCUCGUCAAUGACAUGAUCACAGAAACCAACAAAAGGUUCAGAUAUGAAGCAUACUCGCAACACAUUGAGGGUUUCCAUGAGGUGGUGAAUCAGUCCUGGGCAGCUCCUACAGGGAACGUGUGUCCAAUCUCUAGGCUAAACACAAAACUGCACAGAUUAAGCAAGGCUUUAAGAGCUUGGGGCAAAACGCUUGUCGGUGAUUGUUGA
rnacentral:rRNA from 1 species